UACGGGGGAGCAAGCGUUGUUCGGAUUUACUGGGCGUAAAGGGCGCGUAGGCGGUCAGCACAAGUCAGUUGUGAAAUCUCCGGGCUUAACUCGGAAAGGUCAACUGAUACUGUGCGACUAGAGUGCAGAAGGGGCAACUGGAAUUCUCGGUGUAGCGGUGAAAUGCGUAGAUAUCGAGAGGAACACCUGGCGGCGAAGGCGGGUUGCUGGGCUGACACUGACGCUGGAGGCGCGAAAGCCAGGGAGCGAACGGG
rnacentral:rRNA from 1 species